rnacentral:rRNA from 1 species
AUGUCAUCCCCGGCGUGCCGUCCCGGCCUCCCGGCGCCUCGCCGGCAGGCGCCGCUCCUCCCCCGCCUAGCCGCUCCCCCGUCCGGCUCGAAGCGGGCUGUUCAUCGGACAAGACCUGCUCACUCCACCUUCGAGUUCUCCUCUCCUGGCCGCCGCCGUCGUACUCGGGUCAUCUCUUCUUGCCACGGUGGUUUGGUAGAAAGAAGGAGACUACUAUUGAUUCCUGCAAUUAGUCUCACCAUUGGCUCCCUUCAGUACAGUCUGGAGAAGGGAGCAGCAAAAGCUGAAUUUACUGACAUGCCAGCGCUUCGUGGGAAGGACUAUGGAAAGACAAAAAUGAGUUAUCCAGAUUACACUGAAACAGAAUCAGGCCUCCAAUACAAGGACUUGCGAGUUGGAGAGGGCCCAUCCCCAAAGAAGGGAGAGACAGUAGUGAUUGAUUGGGAUGGGUACACAAUUGGAUACUACGGUCGCAUUUUUGAAGCUCGAAACAAGACCAAGGGUGGUUCUUUCGAGGGUGGUGAUAAAGAAUUCUUCAAGUUUAAGGUUGGAUCAGGACAGGUAAUACCAGCCUUUGAGGAGGCUAUGACAGGCAUGCGUCCCGGUGGAGUUAGAAGGAUAAUAGUACCACCGGAUAUUGGAUACCCAGAUAAUGACUUGAACAAGUUAGGCCCCAAACCAACAACAUUUUCGGGACAAAGAGCUCUAGAUUUUGUUCUAAGGAAUCAAGGAUUAAUAGACAAAACUCUCCUGUUUGACAUUGAGCUUAUUAGGAUAAUUCCGAGUCAAUAG